GUCUAUGAUUAUGCUACCCUGAACAUGCCCGAUCCUGUCUGAUCUCGGAAGCUAAGCAGGGUCGGGCCUGGUUAGUACUUGGAUGGGAGACCACGUAGGAACACCAGGUGCUCCUACC
rnacentral:rRNA from 1 species